rnacentral:tRNA from 1 species
GCGGGUAUGGUUUAGUGGCAGAAUAUCUCGUUGCCAACGAGGAGACAGGAGUUCGAUUCUCCUUACCCGCACCA